AUAUCAGUCAUGCAUAGCAUAUCAAUAAGCGGAGGAAAAGAAACUAACAAGGAUUCCCUUAGUAACGGCGAGUGAAGCGGGAAGAGCUCAAAUUUGAAAUCUUCAAGGUUUUACCUUGACGAAUUGUAGUUUAAAGAAGUGUUUUCUGUUGAAGUUUUGGUAAAAGUUCUUUGGAAUAGGACAUCAUAGAGGGUGAGAAUCCCGUAUUUGACCAUUACUUUCAGCUUUGUGAUACACUUUCAAAGAGUCGGAUUGUUUGGGAAUGCAGUCCAAAAUGGGUGGUAAAUUUCAUCUAAAGCUAAAUAUUGGCGAGAGACCGAUAGCGAACAAGUACCGUGAGGGAAAGAUGAAAAGAACUUUGAAAAGAGAGUUAAACAGUACGUGAAAUUGUCAAAAGGGAAGCGUUUGACACCAGUGUUGUUUUCUCGAAAAUCAAUUAAAAAGAGUUGGAUUUUGUGUUGUAUUGACUUUAUCAGCUUUCUUCACUCUUUUCCAGCUUUUUUUAAUGCACUUUUCGUUUAACAAGUCAACAUCAGUUUCUUUUGUUGUAAAAAGGUCAUUGGAAGGAUGGCUUUCUCUUCGGAGAAAGUGUUUAUAGCCUUUGACUCAUGCAAUCGGAGAGACUGAGGUCUGCAGCGUAGAUCCUUCGGGGUUAGAUACAUUUGUGCUAAGUUAUAGCUUUUCAUAGACAACUUGUUGGCUAUGUUUAGUCUUGUAGCUUACUCGCUUAUGCUAUUUUACCUACGCUUAGGAUGUUGAACUCUAUCACACACAG
rnacentral:rRNA from 1 species